GAUGAACGCUGGCGGCGUGCCUAAUACAUGCAAGUCGAACGCGAAGCCUGGUUUCGACUGGGUGGAGAGUGGCGGACGGGUGAGUAACACAUGGCUGACCUGCCCUUCAGAGGGGGACAACUGCUGGAAACGGCAGCUAAUACCCCAUACGCUCGUGGUGGUUAGGGGGACCACGAGGAAAGGCUGAGGUGCUGAGGGAGGGGGCUGUGGCCCAUCAGCUAGUUGGUAGGGUAAUGGCCUACCAAGGCGAGGACGGGUAGGGGGCCUGAGAGGGUGACCCCCCACACUGGAACUGAGAGACGGUCCAGACUCCUACGGGAGGCAGCAGUAAGGGAUAUUGCGACAAUGGGCGAGAGCCUGACGCAGCAACGCCGCGUGCGGGAGGAAGGCCUUCGGGUUGUAAACCGCUUUUGGAGGGGAAGAGGAAGGACGGUACCCUUCGAAUAAGUCUCGGCUAACGUACGUG
rnacentral:rRNA from 1 species